rnacentral:misc_RNA from 1 species
UCUGGAGCAGACCCUUGGUCACGACGGCAAGCGGUCCUUGAAAAGAAGUCACGGUCAAAGACAGAAAGACAGGGCAUACGGCUCCGUGCUGCUUCGCCGCUCUAUUGAUAAAAUAAUCUGCAAAAGCCAAAUCCGGACCGCAAUCCGCGACACGGCUCACGCAGGCUCUUAGCUCAGUUGGUUAGAGCGCUACACUGAUAAUGUAGAGGUCGGCAGUUCAACUCUGCCAGGGCCUACCAGAAAAAGAGCACAUUGACAGACUGGAAAGUAGACACAACGAAGACUCAAAUUCAAAGACGCAAGUUUAGAAAUUUGAAUCUCACAACAAACGAGCGCAUUGGCUCAAAUGCCAAUGCAAACCAAAGACAAACUCAUUGCGAAAAGACAGUCCUCUAUACGAGGACGAAAAAAGAGCAAAAGCCCUUUUUUUGAAGAAAAAAAGAAAGGAGAAAAGGGCGCAUGAAGGAUGCCUUGGCUCUCGGAGGCGACGAAGGACGCGACAAGCUGCGAAAAGCCGCGGGGAGGGGCACAUGCCCAGUGAUCCGCGGAUAUC